UCCCUGGUGACUCAGCUGGUAGAGAAUCCGCCUGCAAUGCGGGAGACCUGGGUUCGAUCCCUAGGUUUGGGAA
rnacentral:tRNA from 1 species